rnacentral:rRNA from 1 species
AACGAACGCUGGCGGCAUGCCUAACACAUGCAAGUCGAACGAGACCUUCGGGUCUAGUGGCGCACGGGUGCGUAACGCGUGGGAACCUGCCCUUAGGUUCGGAAUAACUCCCCGAAAGGGGUGCUAAUACCGGAUAAUGUCUUCGGACCAAAGAUUUAUCGCCUUUGGAUGGGCCCGCGUUGGAUUAGCUGGUUGGUAGGGUAAAAGCCUACCAAGGCGACGAUCCAUAGCUGGUCUGAGAGGAUGAUCAGCCACACUGGGACUGAGACACGGCCCAGACUCCUACGGGAGGCAGCAGUGGGGAAUAUUGGACAAUGGGCGAAAGCCUGAUCCAGCAAUGCCGCGUGAGUGAUGAAGGCCUUAGGGUUGUAAAGCUCUUUUACCCGGGAUGAUAAUGACAGUACCGGGAGAAUAAGCGCCGGCUAACUCCGUG